ensembl:rRNA 5S_rRNA 5S ribosomal RNA
GUCUAUGGCCAUACCACCCUGAAUGCGCCCGAUCUCAUCUGAUCUCAGAAGCUAAGCAGGUUUGGGUCUGGUUAGUACUUUGGCGGGAGACUGCCUGGGAAUAACGGGUGCUGGAGGCU